CGGGAGGCGACACGAGGCCUUCCGGGCCGACUAUGAUUGACUCGCGGCACUUUCUCCCACUUUUCCCUCAGAUAUCCCCGGUGCGUGCCCUGAGUUAUAAACCAACUACUCCGCGUACUUAUGCCAUGGGAGUGCACUCCUUGGGGAACGGACUCGUGCAGGAUCGAUAGGAUCGUGAAGAAGAAUGAACUACUUUAGUACUUAGUUGCAUUUGAUGAUCGUGAUGGAGGCAGAGAGUGCUGCUGAUCGCGAUCCAGAUCCGGGUCAAGAAUCACCUCCUGAUCCUAAGGAAACCUCAGCUGACGUAGAUCUACGUUCUCUUCGCGUGAACGCUCAGUCUGUGUUGGCUUGGGCCACAGAGCGUUCCGAAUCCCAGCCGCUAAAGACCCACAGAAGGCAAGAAGCUUGCGUUGCAAAGCUGCUGUCCCGCCUGACUGCGGAGAAAGAAGACUCGUUUAUGGCUGUUCUACAGCCGCUGCUGACGUCCAUCAGCUCUGUCCUGCUCCCAGCAGCAGAUAAGCCUGGAUUUCAAUGAGUCGUGUCCCAACUCCGGUGUGAACGAUUUCCUGACGUCAAGACGAAGUGGGGUCAAGUCAUGGGUGUUGCAAGGAAGCUGUCACAAGAUGAAUUGAUCCAGUAUUGAACGGCUACAGCACAACUGAGAGAACGAAAUGUACGUCGCAAUCAAGCUAUGUCGUUGCCAUCUUCUAUGUGCCAUGCGUUACCUGAUGUGCCAGCCUGCUAUGUCGGAUACCGCUAACCAUGCAUCGACUAGGCGCCAGGCGCGAACUGAUGGUGGUGGUAGUGGUGGUGGUGGUGAUGAGAAGGAGAGCUCUGUGCCAGAAUAACUUUGCAGUUUAGAGAGCGUGUCUGGGCAGGCGUGUAUUUACCGCCAUAUUGCCAGGUGUGUAUUUACCACCGUAUUAAUCAACCAUGCGCUACCUGAUGUACCAGCAUGCUAUAUCGGACACCACUCACCCUGCAUCGACUAGGCGCCAGAUGCGAACUGAUGAUGGUGGUGGUGGGAAGGAGAGCUCUGUGCCAGAAUAACU